rnacentral:rRNA from 1 species
GGUUUGAGAGGAUGAUCCGCCACACUGGGACUGAGACACGGCCCAGACUCUUACGGGAGGCAGCAGUGGGGAAUUUUGGACAAUGGGCGCAAGCCUGAUCCAGCCAUGCCGCGUGUCUGAAGAAGGCCUUCGGGUUGUAAAGGACUUUUGUCCGGGAGCAAAUCCCAGUGGUUAAUACCUACUGGGGCUGAGAGUACCGGAAGAAUAAGCACCGGCUAACUACGUGCCAGCAGCCGCGGUAAUACGUAGGGUGCAAGCGUUAAUCGGAAUUACUGGGCGUAAAGCGUGCGCAGGCGGUUGUGCAAGUCUGAUGUGAAAGCCCCGGGCUUAACCUGGGAACGGCAUUGGAGACUG